rnacentral:rRNA from 1 species
GACGAACGCUGGCGGCGUGCUUAACACAUGCAAGUCGAACGGAAAGGCCUCUUUCGGGGGGUACUCGAGUGGCGAACGGGUGAGUAACACGUGAGUAACCUGCCCUUGACUUUGGGAUAACUUCAGGAAACUGGGGCUAAUACCGGAUAGGAGCUCCUGCUGCAUGGUGGGGGUUGGAAAGUUUCGGCGGUUGGGGAUGGACUCGCGGCUUAUCAGCUUGUUGGUGGGGUAGUGGCUUACCAAGGCUUUGACGGGUAGCCGGCCUGAGAGGGUGACCGGCCACAUUGGGACUGAGAUACGGCCCAGACUCCUACGGGAGGCAGCAGUGGGGAAUAUUGCACAAUGGGUGGAAGCCUGAUGCAGCAAACGCCCGUGUGCGGGA